rnacentral:rRNA from 1 species
UACGUAGGGUGCAAGCGUUAAUCGGAAUUACUGGGCGUAAAGCGUGCGCAGGCGGUCUUGCAAGACAGGUGUGAAAUCCCCGGGCUUAACCUGGGAACUGCACUUGUGACUGCAAGGCUGGAGUACGGCAGAGGGGGAUGGAAUUCCGCGUGUAGCAGUGAAAUGCGUAGAUAUGCGGAGGAACACCGAUGGCGAAGGCAAUCCCCUGGGCCUGUACUGACGCUCCAUGCACGAAAGCGUGGGGAGCAAACAGGA